CUGCUCUCCCCUGCCUCGUGUGAAACGCUGAAUGGCUGAGUAAGCCUUACUCAUCUGGGCAGAUAAAUCUGUAGUGGGGCUGUAUUUUUUAUCAGCCACUCUGCAUGAGUAAAGGCUGAGUAAGAGGCUCCAAAGCCGGGCUGCAAUCUUGGAGAAAAAUAUCUUGGAGAUUUUGCACAGGGAAUUGCUGCACCCACCCCCCAGCACAGCAUCUCUUAGCAGGAGUGGCUCACAGCUCUUUAUUUCACUGACACACAGCAAAUACUUCAAGGUGCCUCAAAUUGUUGCUAUUUUAGUGCUUCAUGGGAAGUGCACAAAGAGAAGCACGAGGGAUAGUUUUUCUCUGAUACAGGUACAGGAACUGUGCCCUUGUCUUCCAAAUCCUGUGGAUUUAAUCAUCUUCCUCUCACUAAACGGAUAAAUUAAUUGCAGUCGUGCCCCUUAUAGAUUUUGCUUUCCAGAUCCAUCACUCAAAAGUUCUGGACUUCUCUUCCCCUUGCAAGCAGAACAGAACCACCCAAGAGCAACUCACAAACAGCAGAUUGCCCAACUUGCCGGAUUGCCCAACGAACAGAGGCGCUCGUCCCUGCUUCCCCCUCCCCAGCGCGUAAAUUCUGCGCCUCCUGCACUCACAAAUGUGGCUCUCGUGAGCCAGCUGCCCUCGGCCGCUGUGUUUAUUGCUGCAACAAUGCGGCACUUCCUCACUGGGGAUGCGGGGAACUCGGCAAACACCGGCGGUGCCAGGCGCGGCGCUUGGGAUGGAGCAGCAGCAGCGCGGGGAGCCCGUGCAGCCCGGAGAGAGCUUUUGGGCAAGGCUUUUCCAGCGAGUGUGCUAAGACAGCUCACGGCAGACCUGGAAACUUAGCAAACUAAUGAGGAGGAGGAGGAGGAGAGUUUAAGCAAGGAGGAGCGCCUGCAGGCACUGGCAUUGCUGUGGAAAGCCACGUCCACUGUAGGGAGGACAAGCUGUUAAAAAUCAUUCGGAUUUCUGCUUAUUUCAACUCUGGCCAGCCUGACCGAGCUGCCACAGGUGACUCAGGGAACAAAGCCGUGGAUCCCACGCACUGCAGCCAGGCUCGUCCUUCCCUUGCUUCCAGCCUUGCUCCAAAAGAUCUUAGUCCGGGGAUCAAAGCUCUUGUUUUGGAAGGGAGGUUUCAUUUAGUUAGAGAGAAGGAUUUUGGGUUUAGGAGCGGUGUUGUGUCGUGCCUGCUAGGGUCGGGAGUUUGGGAUGGGACACCCUGCACCUUAGCGUUUCCCUUCGCUAAAAUAAAGAAAGGGACAAAAGGAACGAAACUUUUCCGUCUCCGCUAUUUUUUUCUCACUGCUCGGGGCCUCGGACAUCAGCCCAAAACACGGGAACAGGGGAGCGGGCAGCCAGCUCUCACAGGGGAGCAUCUAGCGUUUCCCUUCGCUAAAAUAAAGAA
rnacentral:lncRNA from 12 species